rnacentral:rRNA from 1 species
CCCUUAGAUGUCCUGGGCUGCACGCGCGCUACACUGAUGUGUCCAGUAAGCACCUAACCUCUUCCGAAAGGAACGGGUAACCUUUGCAAAGCACAUCGUGAUGGGGAUAGAUUAUUGCAAUUAUUAGUCUUGAACGAGGAAUUCCUAGUAAGCACAAGUCAUCAGCUUGUGUUGAUUACGUCCCUGCCCUUUGUACACACCGCCCGUCGCUCCUACCGAUUGAAUGUUCCGGUGAGCUCUUCGGACUGCGCGGUCUGCAGUUUCUGCGUUCCGUGCGGAAAGUUGUGCAAACCUUAACAUUUAGAGGAAGGAGAAGUCGUAACG